GGCCAGACUCCUACGGGAGGCAGCAGUGGGGAAUAUUGCACAAUGGGGGAAACCCUGAUGCAGCGACGCCGCGUGAGUGAAGAAGUAUUUCGGUAUGUAAAGCUCUAUCAGCAGGGAAGAAAAUGACGGUACCUGAUUAAGAAGCCCCGGCUAACUACGUGCCAGCAGCCGCGGCAAUACGUAGGGGGCAAGCGUUAUCCGGAUUUACUGGGUGUAAAGGGAGCGUAGACGGUGAUGCAAGUCAGAAGUGAAAGCCCGGGGCUCAACUCCGGGACUGCUUUUGAAACUGUGUGACUGGAGUGCAGGAGAGGUAAGCGGAAUUCCUGGUGUAGCGGUGAAAUGCGUAGAUAUCAGGAGGAACACCAGUGGCGAAGGCAGCUUACUGGACUGUAACUGACGUUGAGGCUCGAAAGCGUGGGGAGCAAACAGGAUAAGAGACCCGAGUAGC
rnacentral:rRNA from 1 species